UACGUAGGGGGCUAGCGUUAUCCGGAUUUACUGGGCGUAAAGGGUGCGUAGGCGGCUUUUUUAAGUCAGCGGUGAAAUUUUGCAGCUUAACUGUAACAGUGCCGUUGAUACUGGGGAGCUAGGAUUUGGUUGCUGUGGGUGGAAUGUGUGGUGUAGCGGUGAAAUGCUUAGAGAUCACACAGAAUAUCGAUUGCGAAGGCAGCUCACAAAGCCAAGAUUGACGCUGAGGCACGAAAGUGUGGGGAUCAAACAGGAUUAGAUA
rnacentral:rRNA from 1 species